AGGUAGGCGCUGAGGCGGAGAUUUAAAACUUGACUGAUGCUUCCAGCUGAGAGAACUACGCAUCUGGUGGUGUGAUUGUGAAGAAGAGAAGAUGCUGGAGUUCAAGUGCACACACGCUCUGUGCUGGAUUCUAAGGACCCAGAGAUUGCACCUGAACUCAAGUUCUCAGUCCAGGGUGGAAACCAAACAGUGAAUGAGGUCAAGGACUUGAAAAGGCCUCUUGGCGGGUCUGGAGGUAAACAGACCUGGGUUCACAUCUCAAUCUUCAUACUUGCUAGUUGUAAGGUCAUAAGCACGUCAUUUCAAUAAAGGAGCCUCUGUUUCUUCAUCUGGAAGUUAGAAUCUAUCCAGCAGAGUUGGUAUAUGGAAGAGAGAGAGAGGAUUGGUAUAGCACCCAGGAUGGAAAAGAUGUGCCAUAUAUGCUACUGAUUAUUAAGAGAAGAGAGUAAAUAUUUUCAGUCGAUAGAAUUAGUGAAAGUUUCCUGGAGGAGGUAGUAUCUACAUAAGAUCCUAAAAGAUGGAUAGAUUUUGACCUGGUUUUGAGGGAUUAAAGGGAAGAGUACAGGGGCUUUUUAGGGCAGUGAAAUUGUUCUGUAUGAUACAGUAAUAGUGGAAACAUGUCACCAUGCAUUUGUCAGAAUGUACAGCACAAAGAGUGAACCCUAAUGUAAACUAUGGACUUAAUAAUAAUGUAUCAACAUUGGUUCAUUAGUUGCGGGAAAAUAUAUUACACUAACACAAGAUGUAAAUAACAGGGGAAACUGGAGGGGGUUGUGUGUGUGUGAGAACUCUGCACUUUCUGAUCAAUCUUUCUGAAAAUCUAAAAAACAAACAAGCGAAAAAAAAAAAAGCCAGGAAAGAGAACUUUAUACAAAAAGCUGAUAUAAACAAAGGCCAGGUGGUCAUGACAUGUGGCUGGAGCAUGAAGCACCUGGAGAAGAGUGAUCCCAGAAAGGUGGGUUGAAUAUCAUGUUAAACUGUUUAUGCU